rnacentral:rRNA from 1 species
UGUAAAGUUCAAGCUCCGAUUAUGAGGGCGAACCGCGAAUGGCUCAUUAAAUCAGUCAUGAUCUACUUGAUUGUUUAAAGUUUAUAUGGAUAACUGUGGUAAUUCUAAAGCUAAUACAUGCGUGAAGGGGGCGACUCGUCGCAAGGCGAGAAGCUCUGCGUUUAUUAAACUAAGACCGAUGGCUCGGAUAGCAAUGUCCAGCCUCAUUCAAAUGGUGACUCUGAGUAAAUAAUGGGUGCAAGCCCAUGGUGCCGACCUGGCAUUCUAAACUGUUUGGGUCAAACCUCACAGGCCAGGCGAAUCAAUCGAGUGUCUGCUCUAUCAACUGUGGAUGGUAGGGUAAUUGCCUACCAUGGUGGUGACGGGUAACGGGGAGUUAGGGCUCGACUCCGGAGAACAAGCCUGAGAAACGGCUAGUAGGACUAAGGUCUGCAGCAGGCGCGAAACUUACACAAUGCUAGAUUUUAUAUAACCUUAGCGAUGUAGUGAAGAAAAAUAACGAUGUACUUGUAUUUAUACAUACUUGUACAAUUGGAAUGAGACGACUGUAAAUAUGUUAGUCGAGUAACAAAUGGAGGGCAAGUCUGGUGCCAGCAGCCGCGGUAAUUCCAGCUCCAUUAGCAUACAUUAAAGUUGUUGCGGUUAAAAAGCUCGUAGUUGAAUGUAGUGUUGGUUUUUUUGGUCGCUGGUCGUCAAGACUUACAAGGAUCUAACGAAACUUUAAGUUGACCAGUCGUUCCAAGCGAAACCAAUUGUUUCGUCACUUAAUCGAGUGCGAAGCGUGUCGGCGUAUUUCAAAAAGAAUUCAUUUUCUUUUAUACAUCGACGAGUUUACCUUGAGAAAAUUAGAGUGCUCAGAGCAGGCAGUUGGGAUGUAAAAGUCUCUUUAUGCUUGAAUAAUGUUGCAUGGAAUAAUAGAAUACGGCCUCGGUUCUAUUCUGUUGGUCUUAUAGAACAACAAACAAGUUUACAAGGUUUACUAACAGUUUUGAACGAUAUCACGGGUUUGCGUUGUCAGGGGCCUUAAAAUCUCUGUACCUCAACUCUUCGUUUCAAUUACUAUAACCUUUUGUAAACUGAGGCAAUGGUUAAAAGAAAUAGUCGCGGCGGCAUCAGUACUGCAUCGUGAGAGGUGAAAUUCUUAGACCGAUGCAAGACUAACUGAAGCGAAAGCGUUUGCCGAGGAUAUUUUCAUUAAUCAAGAACGAAAGUUAGAGGUUCGAAGGCGAUCAGAUACCGCCCUAGUUCUAACCAUAAACGUUGCCAACUAGCAAUUGGAUUGCGAUUCCUUUAGUUGGAGCGUAAAAAACUCCAACCAUUAUGAUCCAUCCAGCGGCUCUCGUAGGGAAACCAAAGUGUUUGGGUUCCGGGGGAAGUAUGAUUGCAAAGUUGAAACUUAAAGGAAUUGACGGAAGGGCACCACCAGGAGUGGAGCCUGCGGCUUAAUUUGACUCAACACGGGGAAACUUACUAGAUUAGAACUCUGGAAUGAUUGACAGAUUGAUAGCUCUUUCUUGAUUCAGAGGAUGGUGGUGCAUGGCCGUUCUUGAUUCGUAUUCCGAAACGUCUGCCUAAUCGCGAUAACGAGUGAGACCGCUGAUUGCACUUUGACUAGGUGUGUGCGUUGUUUGGGCGUCAAAGUUUGGUUAGGAUUUGGUGCAGUGGGGCUUCACGGUUCCUCUGUAUCUGCCUAGCUAAAUGCUCUCUGCUCGCCACCAGUAAAACUGCAUGAAUUGCGCUGACAAAGCGCCCAGAGACGAG